rnacentral:sRNA from 1 species
AUUGUGAGAGUGAGGCAUCAGAUGGCAGGUGAAGGCCCUGCACAGCAACAGCAUGAGCCGGGGCUAGCCCCAGCACAGCCCCAGCUGUGUGCCCUGUUUCUUAUCCUGCCUGCAGCCCUGAUGCGGUUUAUGGGUGACCAGUCCAAGCCCCGGGGCAAGGAUGAGAUGGAUCUGCUCUAUGAACUGCUGAAGUUGUGCCAGCAGGAGAAGCUAAGGGAUGAGAUUUACUGCCAGGUUAUCAAGCAGGUCACGGGACACCCCCGGCCGGAACACUGCACUCGAGGCUGGAGCUUCCUCAGCCUUCUCACAGGCUUCUUCCCCCCGUCGACCAGGCUGAUGCCCUACCUGACCAAGUUCCUGCAGGAUUCAGGCCCCAGCCAAGAGCUGGCCCGGAGCAGCCAGGAGCACCUCCAGCGCACAGUCAAAUAUGGGGGGCGCCGACGGAUGCCCCCACCGGAAAGGACAAGCCAUUCGCCUGCUUCUUAUCCACCUGCCGGGGGGUGUGGAUUAUAGGACGAAUAUCCAGACUUUCACAGUGGCAGCUGAA